ensembl:lncRNA
AACCCUGUGGCACCCCCAUAGAGACUGCCAGAUAUCUGGAAACAGUCCCUCCGAUUUGACACACGGAACUCUGUCUGAGAAGUAGUUGGUGAACCAGGCAAGGCAGUCAUUUGAGAAACCGAUGCUGUUGAGUCUGUCUAUAAGAAUGUGGUAAUUGACAGAGUCGAAAGCCUUGGCCAGGUCGAUGAAUACGCUGUACAGUAUUGUCUUUUAUCGAUGGCAAUUAUGAUGUAGUUUAGGACCUUGAGCGUGGCUGAGGUGCACCCAUGACCAGCUCUGAAACCAGAUUGCAUAGUGGAGAAGGUGCGGUGGGAUUUGAAAUGGUCAGUGAUCUGUUUGUUAACUUGGCUUUCGAAUACUUUAGAAAGGCAGGGCAGGAUGGCCUUAGGUCUGUAACAGUUUGGGUCUAGGGUGUCUCCCCUUUGAAGAGGGGGAUGACCGAGGCAGCUUUCCAAUCUUUGGGGAUCUCAGACGAUACGAAAGAGAGGUUGAGCAGGCUAGUAAUAGGGGUUGCAACAAUUGCGGUGGAUCAUUUUAGAAAGAGAGGGUCCAGAUUGUCUAGUCCAGCUGAUUUGUUGGGGUCUAGAUUUUGCAGCUCUUUCAGAAAAUCAGCUAUCUGGAUUUGGGUGAAGGAGAUAUGGGGAGGCUUGGGCAAGUUGCUGUAGGGGGUGAAGAGCGUAUGAUCGGGGUAGGGGUAGCCAGGUGGAAAGCAUGGCCAGCUGUAGAAAGUGCAUCAAGGAAAAAAAGUUUUUCUCACAUCGGCUGAGGAGAGCAUGAUCACACAGUCGUCCGGAACAGCUGAUGCUCUCAUGCAUGUGUCAGUAUUACUUUCCUCGAAGCGAGCAGGGAAGUUAUUUAGCUCAUCUGGUAGGCUCGUGUCACUGGGAAGCUCUCGGCUGUGCUUCCCUUUAUAGUCUGUAAUAGUUUGCAAGCCCUGCCACAUCUGACGAGCGUCGGCUCCAGUGUAGUACGAUUCGAUCUUACUCCUGUAUUGAUGCUUUGCCUGUUUGAUGGUUAGUCGGAGAGCAUAGCGGGAUUUCUUCUAAGCUUCUGGGUUAGAGUCCCGCUCCUUGAAAGGGGCAGCUCUACCCUUUAGAAUAGUGUGAAUGUUGCCUGUAAUCCAUGGCUUCUGGUUGGGGAAUGUACGUACAGUCACUGUGGGGAUGACGUCCUUGAUGCACUUAUUGAUAAAGCCUGUGACUGAUGUGGUGAACUCCUCAAUGCCAACGGAAGAAUCCCGGAACAUAAUCCAGUCUGUGCUAGCAAAGCAGUCCUGUAGUUUAGCAUCUGCUUCAUCUGACCACUUUUUUAUAGACUGAGUCACUGGUGCUCCCUGCUUUAAUUUUUGCUUGUAAGCAGGAAUCAGGAGGAUAGAAUUAGAUUUGCCAAAUGGAGGGCGAGGGAGAGCGUUGUACGCAUCUUUGUUUGUGGAGCAAAGGUGGUCUAGAUUUUUUUCCCUCUGGUUGCACAUUUAACAUGCUGAUAGAAAUGAGGUAAAACUGAUUUAAGUGUCCCUGCAUUAAAGUCCCCAGCCACUAGGAGUGCCACUUCUGGAUUAGUGCUUUCCUGUUUGCUUAUUGAGCGUGGUUUUAGUGCCAGCAUCUGUCUGUGUUUUGGUAUGUAGACAGCUAUGGCAAAUAAAGAUGAAAACUCUAAAGGUAGAUAGUGUGGUCAUGAGAUACUCUACCUCAGGCAAAACCUAGAGACUUCCUUAGACAUUGUCCACCAGCUGUUGUUCACAUAUAUGCAUAGGCACCGCCCUGUGUCUUACCAGAGGCUGCUGUUCUGUCCUACUGAUGGAGUAUAUAACCUGCCAGCUGUAUGUUCUUAAUGUCGUCGUUUAGCCACGGCUCGGUGAAACAUUUUACAGUUUUUAAUGUCCCGUUGGUAGGAUAUACGUGAUUUCAGUUCGUCCCAUUUAUUUUCCAGCAAUUGAACAUUAGCUAUUAUCCACUCGUCGCCUGAUCCUCACAAGGCACCCGGAUCUUUUUCCACUAAAUUUCCAUUUCCUUCUCCAGCGAAUCCCGGGGAUCUCGGCCUGGUCGGGUGUUUGUUGUAGUAUAUCCCUCCUGUCUGAAGAAGAAGAAGAACUCUUCGUCCAGUUUGAGGUAAAUAGCCAUAAUGCUCUAAACUGCUUUCGUGACAAACAAACUUUGCUACCCUGUUUCCAAUCAUCCACAUAGCUGGGAGAACCUAUUCAAGUACUACACAGAAAGCUGUGACGGCCUGUAUGCUGAUGAAGAGCAGUGGUUCUCAGUCUGGUCCUGAGGACUCAGGGGUGUACAUUUUUGUUUUUUGCCUUAGCACUACAUGGCUGAUUCAAAUGAUCAACUGAUCAUCAAGCUUCAAGUGAUAUCUUGCAACUGGAGAUUCCAUCAAAAUUAUUGCCUACAGUUACCGUGUAGGGCACUGCACGGUUGGGUGACCAGGACCAUCUGAGACUGCCUCGUGGGGGAAUUCACAUGCAAUAAGAGUAUUCUUCCAUUUACUUAGCUAUGUCAACUGCAGUUAUUCAAAUCCCAUUUUCUUGCCCUUCGACUUCUACUUCUCAGGUGAGGGUGCUGUUCAGGUAGGGGUGAUGUCUGUACAAAAACAGGCACUUUUAAGAGUCACCCAUAUUGGAAAAAUAUAGAACAAUUUGACACCCUACAACCCACACCUACAUUGUAUCAAUUUAAUUGAUGUAUUGUGUUGUUCAGUAAGCAGGCUCAGGUGUAUAACUGGCUCCUUCUAAUUUCAGAGAAUAGGCAAGAGGACCAACCAUGGAGAAUGAAGAAUCCCGUGACAUCGGCUGUAUCUGUGACCCUCUCCCGCUUCUGAACUGCCUGACACAUAGAGAGCACAGCAUGAUCAGAGGAAUCUUUUGAUGUGAGAGGAUGACAACUCCCAACCCUCGGGCCAAUUGGGGGCCCAAUGCUUGGGUAGGAGACAGCGCUAGAGACACUAUUAUGUAAUUGUGAUGACCUUAGAGACUAUGGAGUUUAGUUGCACUGCAUUUCAUUCAUCAUUAUGCUGUCUUCUCUGUUCUU